GACGAACGCUGGCGGCGUGCCUAAUACAUGCAAGUCGAGCGAGCUUGCCUAGAUGAAUUUGGUGCUUGCACCAAAUGAAACUAGGUACAAGCGAGCGGCGGACGGGUGAGUAACACGUGGGUAACCUGCCCAAGAGACUGGGAUAACACCUGGAAACAGAUGCUAAUACCGGAUAACAACACUAGACGCAUGUCUAGAGUUUAAAAGAUGGUUCUGCUAUCACUCUUGGAUGGACCUGCGGUGCAUUAGCUAGUUGGUAAGGUAACGGCUUACCAAGGCAAUGAUGCAUAGCCGAGUUGAGAGACUGAUCGGCCACAUUGGGACUGAGACACGGCCCAAACUCCUACGGGAGGCAGCAGUAGGGAAUCUUCCACAAUGGACGCAAGUCUGAUGGAGCAACGCCGCGUGAGUGAAGAAGGGUUUCGGCUCGUAAAGCUCUGUUGGUAGUGAAGAAAGAUAGAGGUAGUAACUGGCCUUUAUUUGACGGUAAUUACUUAGAAAGUCACAGCUAACUACGUGCCAGCAGCCGCGGUAAUACGUAGGUGGCAAGCGUUGUCCGGAUUUAUUGGGCGUAAAGCGAGUGCAGGCGGUUCAAUAAGUCUGAUGUGAAAGCCUUCGGCUCAACCGGAGAAUUGCAUCAGAAACUGUUGAACUUGAGUGCAGAAGAGGAGAGUGGAACUCCAUGUGUAGCGGUGGAAUGCGUAGAUAUAUGGAAGAACACCAGUGGCGAAGGCGGCUCUCUGGUCUGCAACUGACGCUGAGGCUCGAAAGCAUGGGUAGCGAACAGG
rnacentral:rRNA from 1 species